CAGUGCGAUCAUACCAGCACAAAUGCACUGGAUUCCAUCAGAACUUCGCAGUUAAGCGUACUUGGGUGAGAAUAGUACUAGGAUGGGUGACCCCCUGGGAAGUCCUUGUAUUGCACCCU